AUCCUUUUUGGUUUGUUCGAUGAUUAGGUUUUCACUCCAUUGUGUGAAAUGUGCUCUCUGUAAACCUCAUUAUGUGGGCACAGUACCCAUCUGAUA
rnacentral:snoRNA from 1 species